rnacentral:lncRNA from 1 species
UUCUCCUUUAGAGUUGCUAUCUUCUUGCCGUCGAACAACAAUCUUUUGAACACAAUCUUGCGUGAAGAUUGUGGGCUUCGGAUCUGAUACUGCUGUGGGAACUUUACGGGCGGAAACAGAGAGGUGCAAUUUAAAACGAUAUUGUUAUUGCACAUAUUAUCAUUAUCAUUAAUCACCCCACGAGCGAUUUCACUCCAGGUUUUCAUGAAGUUAAAGAUUGCCGAACCGUCGGCCACUCCAUGAGAAAAACAAACACCAAUUGCCAUUUCACCGCUGUUGAACAAAUUUACUUGGACAGCCAAAAGUUCUCUUUCAGAAAUCUCUAAAUUCGAUAAUUGGGGACUAGGUGGGAUUAAUUGUUGUAGCAGCUCCAUAUCUGGUGGUUGAAGAAACUUUGAUAGAUCACAGCCAACAUUUGCUUCAAUAAAUGCAGCCCCAUGAUCAUUACAGUCGACCGAAAAACCAUCAAUGAAUCUUCCAGCAAAAGGGUAGUAGUGGGUUAAUGUUGUUGCGAGAGAUUGCUUCAAUAAAUCAGAUUUUUUUCUGAAAUCUUGGUUCUUGCAACUGGCCGAGUAGAAGAAAACUAGGGGAAUGUAAAAAUCAGAAUUCAUUUGAUCAAUCAAUGAAAGUUUAUAGGUUCUAAGAUGUUUUCGCGUUGGAAGUGAAGGUUUGACUCUUUCGGUGGAAAUGAUCUGAACAUCAGAAGUGGCACUUUUGAUACUUCUUUUUGAGAAGAUCUGGACGUUAUUGGUGAUUAAUUUGGAAGCAGUUAUUCGGAAAAUGUUUUUGAGAUUCACUGCCAUCUUUUGCUGGCUUUGAGAAAUUAUUCACCAAAGUGAGUGUUGAGUGGCAUAUAGUGUGCAACCAAAUUCAUCAUAUUUAUUAUAAGUGUCUUGCAUAAUUGCUUCUGAAAAGAUCGGAUCUCCAAAAUAAUAAAGAAAAUCAAAACGAAUCCCUUAGAAAAUAUACAAAGUCAACAAAUGGAGGUGAUUUCAAUAAUAGACAAUAUUAAAACAAUUCUCACUCUCCGGGUCUGAAGGCUGAAUAUGCCGGUGACAAGGCACAGCGUGGUGCUCACCCCCUAUUAAGUCAAUAGAUCAGAUUGAGAUAAUAUCAAAUUUUAAUAAUUCUUGUUACUUGUUAUAUAAGAACAUAUAUUUAAUAACUAAAGUUGGUUGGUGUGAGUGGUUCGACACUCUCACUCCUUAAGAGAGGUCAGGGGUUCAAGCCCCGCUCUCGUAUGGAGUCACCACUUUGGCCAGCACUUUACUCCUUAUGGGCCGACCCGGUGCGAGCGGGGAUUAGUCUGGGUUGUGGUACGGGCUUAAAGGUGCCUCCCACAGUUGGGGCCCACUCAGGACCACCUCGUGGUUCAGACAAAAAAAAAAGAACAUAUAUUUAAUAAUUGGAAAGAAGAGAAAUUAAUGAAUAAAAUUAAGAGUGAUGAUACAACCACAAACUCUUGUACAAACUUAAUUUAUACAAACAGAUGUGUCAUUAAUUCAUUGGUUGAAUGAAAAUAUAAAAUAAUAGAAAUAAAUCAUGUGGGCCAAGAGAUAUUUAAUUCAACUAAUUUUAUUAUGCCACAUUAGUUUGUAUAAGAGUUUGUGACUAUAUCAUUAUUCUAAAAUUAAAUAAAAUUCACUGGUAGAUUCCAUUAAUUAACCCGAAAGCUGUGCAUAUAUAUCUUGUUUAUUAAAAUUUGCGCAACACAUAAGUAUUUUAUGAAACUAACACAAAUAUUUAAGAUUUAUCCGUAAAUAUGCUAGUUAUUAUUUUAUUUUAAUGUCACCAGAAUAUUAAUUAGAAAGAAAUAACUUUUUGUACCUCCGACGGAAUAAGUCGAGUUGGUUUGUCCCCUUCUAGUGAAAACAAGAAGUCACAUGAUCAUUUCCCUCUCCCACCAACCCUGGGAAAUAAACUUAUUUAAUUGAUUUUUUAUGUAUAGGAUGGAAUAUGAAAUUAACUUUUGAUACUUUUUGUUGAAAUUUGAAUUAUAUACAAGGACAUAAAUAUAUAUAUGAUGUGCUAGGUGAUUAGUGUGAGUGGGUAUACGGGCAGGUGUGUGCGUGCGCCUGCGUGUAUGCAUGUUUGCAUGUGCAUGCACGAGUGUGUGUUUGUGUGUGUGUGUGCACGCUUGGGUGGGUGGGUGCGUGCAUGUGUGUGUACGCACGUUCGUGUGUGUCUAUGUGUGCGUGCGUGCGUGUGUGUCUGUGUUUGUAUGCAUGCAUGUGCGUGCGUGCAUGUGUGUGUGUGUGCAUGCAUGCGUGCAUGAAUGUGUGUGUGUGGGAAGGUGCAUUGGCAUAUACAUUUCGUUUUCUAUGAAAUGAGAGAGCGAGUUUUAGCAAGCUGAUUUCAAAGAAAGUAAGCGAAUUUUCUUUUUUCUUUGGGUGCUUGAAUUCACUACUCUCUUGGUAAAAACUCUAUAUGUUAUGUUUAGAGAUAAGUGGGUGAAGGAUGCUUGUGUAAAGCCCAAAAUAGGUAUUAUGUGAAAGCAUGAAUGUUAAGUCAGGGUGGUAAUUGAAUGAAGGUAGUUCAAGUAAGUGAUUUGAAAGGAAAUGUUUUGAAAAUGACCCCAAGUUUUGAAGAAUUUCUUUUACGAUGUUUUUCAGAGAGCAUUGAAUGUCGUGUAUUUGUAUUAGAUAUAAGUAUGUAUGUAUUUUGGUAUAUGAAAAAUUACUUUCUUUACUAAUUCUCGUAUUCAUUAAAGUUUAUUGUGAUUUCCAUACAUUAAGAUUGAUUCAUGUUAAGUGAUGAAAAAACCUAAAUUGAGGAUAAUAGAUAGUUUGGCAAAUUUUUAAAAUUUUCCAUUAUUUAAGUAUCGACUGUUUAUAUAUUGUGCAAAGAUUUUUCAGUUUAUUAGUUUUAGCGCUUCUGCCAUGCUCUAGUUGUAAAUUGUAUCUGGAGACCCCCCUCGGAUUCCGUCUGGAAAUCAGGGAGAGUUGUUCCAAAAGAUCUGAUUAAGAUAUAUCAAAUUAUAAUAAUUCUUGUUACUUGUUACAUAAGAACAUAUAUGGAAAGAAGGGAAAUUAAUAAAGAAGGUAAAGAAAAUCCGUAGGCAAAUUUUGUUUACUUUUGAUACUUUUACUGUACACACACACAUCUUGUUUACUAAAAUUUUCACAACACUUAAAAAUUCUAGUAAAGUAACACAAAUAUUUAAGAUUUGUUUUUUAAUGUCAUAAGAAUAUUAAUUAACGAAAAUAACUCUUGCAUCUCUUAGGGCCGCAGCUACUUUGCGUCAUGGGUUUCGUACCCAAGUCGUUUGUCUUGUAGCAUGGUCACCGUUAGAUUUCAUCUCGUGGCUGCAGAAGAGACACACAGACGCAAGAGAGUAACCUGAGAUAAAGGUCAUGGGCCGGUAACACUGCAGGGAAUCAACUUUUUGACCAAAAAAACGCCUGUAGUGGUUGGAAGUUGUAACAGUAACGCAUGUAAAAUAAUUAAAAAAAGUGCAUGCAAGUAUUGGUUAAAACUUAAAAGCAAGAAGUUGGAAGCGUGCAAGUAUGGGUUGGGGUUAGAAUGAUUUGAAAAUUUCGAAAAUAGUGACGAAAACAUUUGGAAGUGGAUUUAAGGUAAUGAAUUGCGUGCUUGGUGGGAAAAAAAAUGCGAAAUAUCAACUGUAAUUUUAAAAGUAGCGUGGCAUGAAUUUACAGUUGAGUUAGUGUAUAAUUCGAUUUUGUGGGAAAUUUGCGUAUGAGUUGAGUAAAUGAAAACCAUAUAAAAAAAAUGUGAAGAAAAAUUAUGUAGCGUGUAAUAAUAAUAAUAAUAAUAAUAAUAAUAAUAAAUAAAUAAAUAAAUAAAUAAAUAAAUAAAUAAAUAAAAAAUAAAAAAAUGAUCAGGCAAUGCAUUGCAAAAGUAAUUGGUCGGGAAAAAAAAGGGAAAAAUUCCAUUUAACCUGAAUAAUAUGUAAUUUUAAUUUUAUCCUUAGAGUUUAAAUAAUAGGCCAUGCCAUUUCCAAAUUUGAACAACAACAACAAUAAUAAUAAAACUAGUAGUGGUUAAUAUUAUAAUUAUGACGACGACGACGAUGAUAAUUUGUGUAAUAAUAAUAAUUUUAAAAAUAGUAAAUCAUCAACCAAGAAAUGGAGGCUUUUUUGAGAUGACUGAUCAAUUAAAAGAGGAAAAAAGAAAGAGAAAAAUAUCUUCGACACUCUAUUUUAACUAUUUUUUGUGACAGUCUCAAUUGUUUGUUGUAAGUAUAGAAACUAUGAGUUUUAUAGUUUGUUACAGAAUAAGACCCUAAUAAAUUAGCAUAAUUAAAAAAUUCUGUAUUAGAUGGAAAAGGAUUUAAGUCUGUAAAUCUGAAAAAAUUCGUGAAAUCAGGAGAAAUAAUAUAUAUUGAAUUAAAAAUAUAAAACUGAAAAAUAUAGCAAUGGUAGUGAGCAGUACAAAAAAAUGUAAAAUUUAGAUAUAGUUAAAUUAACACAAUAUUAUAUCUAAUUCGAUAACAAUUCAAAAAAAAAUAAAAAAUACGUAAAUAUAGCUUCGUAAACAUUAAGAAACAAAAAACAUAAGCUAAACAAAAAAUUUUGGCAUAUAACACCGAAGCUAUCCCCGACGGCAUGCACAAGGCAUAACUAUUUCACUUCACUAGUUAAAGUAAUUAAAUGUAAUUGCUAACUUUGUUUUGAAGCUUCUCGAGUUUCAUAAUUAUUUGCCGUUACACCGAGACUCUGAAGUUUGAACUUAGAAAUUGAUAAUUUUAGUUACAUUUGAUGUACUGAUCAAAACAAAUGAAAAUUUGUAUAUCGGUGUGUUAAAAUUGGGAAUUAUGAAUGUAUUAUCGUAGCUUAAUAUUAAUUAAUAUGUUGUUCAAUUAUGAUUUUAACUGGUAGUAAAGUUAAUUUUACAUUAGAAAAUUUAAUUGAAAAAAAAAAAAUAUGAAUGAGAUAUUUGUUUAUAUAAAUACUGCGUAGAUUGGAUGGAAAAAAAAUUGCAUCUACAAAUCAAUCUGCCAAACGAUGGAGUACAUAUGGAUUGGGUCUGAUUUGCAUCCGAUCCGUAAAAAUAUGAAUUGGAAUUCGAUUCAGUUUAAGUAAUCAGUGGAUUUGAUUUGAUUGAACACAUUAAAAUCCGUAAAAUUGUGGAUCAUAUAUGGAUUGAUGUGCAAUCCGCAAAAUCUGAGACGCGAACACCCGUAAAAGUGAACCUUCUUGUGCAGGGGGAUGUGGACCAACAUAUCCAAAUUAAAUGAACAAGAACAUGUGGUAAAGAACAAAGAUGAACGAUAUUGGCGGCGGAUGAGAAGAAUGAAGGCCUGAUUAUGUUGUAUAGUGACAGAAGCACCCCCCCCCCCCCCCCCCCCCCCCCCCGGCUGGAGGCGAUAAACAAUAUCAAUCGGACACCGAGAUGUGAAUCGCACGAAUGUCGGCAUCAAUAAGAAAAUUGUAACGCACGGGAUGCAAAAUGUCUCUCUACCCAUCAAUAAGGUAUGAAGGGUUAUUUAAAGUAAGAAUAAUACAGUUUCCUUUUCAAAUUAGAAGGUGAAAUUGCUGCCUCGUACCUAAAUAUGUUACAGGACUUUCGAAUCUUAUGUUCAUCAGGGAAGAUAAAAGGGUUACGUUAGAAGGCAUAAAAGAUAGUUCCUUAGAAAACAGUAAUUUGAUAGGAGAAUGUCCCAUAAUCUAUUAAUGUAGGUUAAUAUUCAUUGUUGACAAUUUCAAAAUUAAGUAAUAGGAUAAUUAUAGCAGAAAUUAUUUAUUAAAAUAAAAAAUAAUGUAAUGUAUGCGAUGAGAUUAAAGUAAAUUUACAGGAAUGAAAUUACAUGUUAGAUUUAAUUAAUUUGAAGAAAUAAGAUGACGACAGUAUGAGGAGAUGCUUUACAUCGGUACCGAAGCAUUUAGUAAAUAUAUAUGCAAUUGGAAAAUGGAAAAAUUGGUACAUGUUAAUUUGCGUGAUGAUAAUUUGCGUAAUAAUAACAACAAUAAAUUUAAAAAUAGUAAAUCAUCAACCAAGAAAUAGCGGCUUAAUUGAGAUGAAGGAUAAGUUAAAACAAUAAAAAAGAAAGAGAAAAAUAUAUUCGACACUCUAUUUUAUUUGUUGUAAGUAAUAGAAAGUAUGAGUUGUAUAGUUUGUUACAGAAGAAGCCCGAAUUAAAUUGUAAUAAUUAAAGAAGUAAUAAAAUUAUCUGACAUGUUAUUUAGUAGCCCUUAUUUGUUUCGUAUAAGAGUUUAAAGUAAUAAGUGUGAAAUAAAAAAUAAUAAUUUUAGUGUUCGAAAGAAAUUGUGUUGGAUAUAUGCAUCCCUUUUAGUCAGUAUAUUUUAUUGUAAAUCUUAAUUUAUUAAGUAGAAAAUAUAUAAUUCUCCUAAUAUAAUAACACACAGAGAGUCUUCUAGGUGACACAACUUAAAAGUAAUUUUUAACUCUCAAGUAUAAGAGUGUCUUGUUAUAUUAUAGUUCGGUGAGUUCGAGGUCGAUACACAAAAAAAGAUUUAUUUGUUUAUUUUACUUUUGCUAAAAAUGGCUAGGGUUAUGGAUCCACCCUUAGUAGUAAAUAAAAUUUAAUAAAUUCUUUUCGCCAUUUUUUAUUUAGAUUUAUUGUCGAAAAGAUUAAUUAUAUAAAUUAUCAUUAUUUUCCCUUUAAUUUUAUGAUGGAUUAAUAUUUAUUGUGACAAAAUUUAAUUUGUCUACAAUAAAUGAAAAUAUCAUUUUGUCAUACCUUAUAUUAAGAAUUAAGAAUUUAUUGUGUCAAACUCCCUUAUUUGUCUACAAUAAAUCAAAAUUUCAAAAUAUAAAAUAUGUAAAAAAUUAAAUAGAGUUUAUGUCCAGUCACCUGGAGGGGAACAACUGCUUAGUAAAAAAACACAUGUAGUAAGUUGAAAAUAUUUUUACGACUUAUGUGUUUAAACAAAUAACAAACUGAUGUAUGGAGUUGAGGUUGCAAGCGUUCCCCUUGCCAUUGAAACUAGCUACGAAGGUCUUGAACGUUCUGCCUUUUCCACCAAUAAAUGUAUUAUUGUUUUAGUUGGAGACGUUAGAGUUGGCACCCUAGUGCUACAGGUAAAAUAACAAUACUCUUGUUUCUUGUGUUUUCUUUGCUUGGCUCCAUUAAUAUUUUACACGAAUUACUUUUGUUUUAAAUUUUGUUGGUGGCCUGCUUUGGGUAUUCAUUGUGGCACUCUCAUUUUGUGGGUGAAUGAUUUUCAUAAUCUCGAUUUACUUGCAUUUAUUUUCAUGCAUGUUUUAUUGUUGGAUAUUCUAUAUUAUGGGGCAUUAUCUUGACCAAUGUUGAUGAUGAAGGACAUCUUUAUGGGGUCGCUGGAAGUUCUGGUGGUUAUGCAGAAACAGUAUUCAGACAUGCUGCUAAAACACUAUUUGGAAAAGUUAUUGAAGGUCAUCUAGAAUUUAAAACCAUCAGAAACUCUGAUUUCCGAGAGGUGGCUCUGGAAGUGGAGGGAAAAACGUUGUUGAAAUUUGCCCUAUGUUAUGGCUUCCAGAACCUGCAAAACAUUGUCAGGAGAGUGAAAAUGCGAAAAUGUGAUUAUCACUUUGUGGAGAUCAUGGCAUGCCCUUCAGGUUGCAUGAAUGGUGGAGGUCAGGUCAAGCCUAAGCCAGGGCAAUCACCGAAGGAGUUGAUUAAGACACUGGAAACCAUCUAUUUGGAAAAUGUAAUGGUAGCUGAUCCUUUCAAAAAUUCUCUGGUGAAAAGCUUGUAUGAUGAGUGGCUUGAGCCACCUGGUUCAGAGAAAGCUAAAAAGCACGUGCACACAGAAUAUUAUCCUGUGGUGAAAAGUAUCACCGCUCAGUUGCAUAAUUGGUGAAAGCAUUCACCAUCCCAACACUUGAUCGUAGACAAUUUUGGAACUUAAGAACUCUCUUCUUGUGCCCCAUGCCAUCUCCGAGUUGUUUUAGCAAAUUUCAGACAUGGCACCACAGCGAUGCUGGCCAUUUUUUGUCAAUCAUGGGAUUGCAUUUGCAGGGAAGUCCAAUUUUGAUAGAGUAAACAUAUAUUUAUUUACUUCAAAGGUUUUCACUCAUGUACAUACUAUGUAUUAGAAAUGUUACAUAUAGAAGAAAGCAUUGAGGUAGGCACUGAUGCCUCAUGGCACUUAAUUUCAUUUCCUUGUAUCAUUUUUUCUUAGUUGAACAGUCCGAAUAAGGUUCCCUUUGCUCAAAAAAAAAAAAAAAAAAAGCUUCGGGGUUUCAAUACCCAAGUGAAUUAAUGAAACAUGUAUUGAAUAGCAAAGCUUACUCUCUCAUCUGCUGAGAUUGUAAAUAUCACAUUUACUGGGUAGAAAUUGAAGAAAACUCUUCUACAAUUUCAGCCGUAACCACCUAUAUCACCAAUUCUUCAAUUUAUUCAUAAACUAUUUUACCUUACCCUCCACAGAGCCUGCAGUUGACACACUAGCCAAAGUAAUUGUAGGCAGAACCCUCGCAUAUCAUACAUUCAAAACAAUUUAGACUCAUAAAUCAUAAUUCUUGAAUUUACCCCAACGGAAAAUGAAAUUACAGCAAGUAAAGAAAAGAACAAACAAAAUCAAUUAACAAUCAUAUAAACAAAACUCAGAAAAACAAAAUAAAUUAACAAUCAUACCAACAAAACCUAGAAAAACAAAAUAAAUUAACAAUCACAUGAACAAAAUAGAUGCAGCACAAUUUACCAAAAUACAAACACUUGAACAUAGCUUAAUUUUAUUGGAAAGCAAUUCAAAAAGUCAAUUAAUUAAUACAAAUUGAAAUUCCGACCAGAUUUUUCAGCCCCCAAUUUAUUUGUUUAUUACGAUUUCACAAUAACGAACUGGACUUAAUUUGAUCCAAAUCGGAACUGAACCCGUCAUGUCGUGCGGGUUUUAUUUUUAUUUUUUAAAAAUCAUUAAGUCAAGGGAUGGGAAAAGGAAAAACCCUAGCCCCAAAUUAGCAAAGCAAGCCGCCCACUUCUGCAAACUCAGAACUCAAGUUGGCGCCUUACAUAGAUGCAGCACCACCACCACCACCAUCACUAGGCGAAUCAAAGCAGAGACGUAGCAGCACCACCACUAGCUGAAUCAGAGCAGAGACGAAGCGGCAGCAGCAGCAGCCGUCGAUUCUCAAUUACAGCAGCAACAGAGCAGAGACGCAAUCGCAAUAGCACACGGAGCCAAGAUGCAGCAGCAGCUUUCUCUCUCAACGCAAUAGCUGAUUUUGCUUGAAGAACUGUGACAGUCAAUUGUGGAUGAAAUACAAGAGUAUUCACGAAGAGAGAGAGAGAGAAAAAGAGAGAGAGCUCUGCGAAAUUGGAUUGAAUUAUCUUUUUUGUUUUCGUUUUACUGGUAUUACAGCUUCAGCCGGUUACCCAUUUUCCAACCGUUAAAUCUCAGCCGUUAACUACCUUUGUUAACAAUCUAAGGAUUCAUUCGCUAAGAGACAAAUAACUGGGGUACCAAACCCAUGACGCAAGGUAGCUGGACCCAUCUCUUAGGGGAUAAGUCGAGCUGUUUUGCCACUUGUAGUGAUAAAAGUAGGUCACAUGAUCAAUUUCCCUUCAAACCCAACCCUGGAAAAGAAAGUUAUUAAAUUGGUGUUUAUAUAUAUGAUAAGAUGUGAAAUUAAACACAAAAGUCAUAAAAUUAACUUUCGAUACUUUUGCUGAAAUUUGAAUUAUAUACAAGGAGAUAAAUUUCUUAUAUUCAAUUUCGAGUUAGGUGGGGGGUUAAAAAAUCAAUUUAUACUUUAAUCACUCCUAACUUUUUAAGUAAUAAACUAAAUUAAAAAAAUUAAGGUUUCACAAAGAAAUUAUUUAAGAAUUCCUACUUCCAUAUUAAUAUCAUAGAAAUGUUAUUUUUAUUUAACAUUGUAAGAAAUCAAUCGGAAACAUCAGGAAAAAAACAAGAGAGAAGAAAUAUAAUUAACAAAUUAACAACUCUUUUAUUCAAAACAAGUACAUGUUGAUACUAGCAAAAAAAUAUAUUCAUCUCACCCAAAACCAAAGGAUUGUUAUAUACUCCUAAAUACUCAACACAUAACUUAGAAGUCAAAUAUAUAUAUCUGCUAUUAUUAAAAAAAUUUGACAAUGCAAGCAUCCAUUAGAGCAGCUUUUGUAGUCAAAACAUUGGAAUCUCAGCCACCAUCCAUCGUUUGAUUCGUUUCCAACGGCCUGGACGACAGUGGAGAGAAUCAAUAAGCAUUUGAGCACCAGGCAACAAAAAAAUUUGCUAGACUUUCCAUGGAAGUGAAAUCUGCUACAUCGCUAAUUCGAUAAUGGCAUGAUGAUUUCUCGAAUAAAUUUAUUGCUUCUCGCAACAUUGGAAAGUUUUUUUUUUUGAGAUCAAUGGAAUUUUUGCUCCAAGUAAGGCACAUUUAUCUGUAGUGAAAUUUGGUAGAGCAAAUGACAAUAGUUCUAAUACCAUGUCUAUUUUGUAAAUCUUUGCUAGAAUUUUAUGUACUCCAGAGAAAAGAGCUCAUGAAUUUUUUCUCUGCUUUGUGACGAGAAUAGGUACUAUGAAUUUGUUUUUAUAUUGGAUUUAAAAGUUCAAUGUCAUAAAUAUUUGAUUUGAAGAAUCCAUUUCUCAUUUUUUCUCCAUUAAAUUUAAACUUUAGUAAAAGAUAUGGCGGGGAUGCUUGGUCGAAAGGUAUGAUAUAAUACCAUAUAAAACAAUUCAAGUUAAAUAGAAAUUAGUAACUAAUUUCACAGGGUGAGCUUAAGGAUAAAAUUAAUUAGUCUCUUGGACAUAGCAAGGUUGGUCGUGAAACGGUUUGUAUCCGUGAUCGCCGGAUUUUGAAUAAUAAUAGGGAUAACGGUUGGUAUUUAGAGGAUGAGACAUGAUUUCUUAUCCCCGUCCAAACCUUUGAGCAAAUAGUAGUUUAUAAUAUUUAUUUAAUUAAUCUAUUAUUUAAAGAGAAGUAUGAUAAUAAUGAGAUACAUUUAUUGUACAAUAAUCUCAACUUUGUAAGCAUAUUACUAUUCUAACUAGAAUACAAUUCUUUUAUUCAAAGCAAGAUAAAUAAAAUUAACUCCUUACUUCCUUAUAAAUAUGCUAGGGUUAGCGGAAGCAUAAGCCAUGAUGCUAGUUUCUUGUUCAAAUUUUUCCAUGUCCUCCUUAAACAUUACCACCAAUGCUUCUAUUCCUUCACCGUCACUUGCGCUUGUUAAAAUAGCAAGAUCAGGUAACAAUAUGGGCCCGAGACUAAACCAAACAGGCUUCCCCCAACCAAAAUCAACUUCAUCACAAGGCAAUCCAACCAUACUAGUCAAAAGAAAUGACCUUGAAUCUUCCCCUACUUGGUACAUAUCCUUAAUGAAACCAAAAUACUCAUCAUUAUUCAUCACAUCUCUUCCCAUUCUCUUGGCUUUUACCACUUCUCUUACUAAAUUUGUUACCUGUAUGGCAUCAUCCUCGGCUAGUGACCAUUCUGCCCUUACAAGCCGAGUAAUGUUGCCCAUGCACCGUGGAAACAUUGGUGGAUUCAUCUUGUUACGCAAAUUCAUAGCAUAAUACAUUGAAUGAGAGUGCAACUUGUUAUCAAUUGCCCUCUUUCUUUCACGCGCUACAGCGAUGGAGGCACCCCAAAUGAGUGCUGAAACAACCCCGAAACGUGUUGCUUGUAACACGUCAUCGUCAGAAUUGUUAUCAGCCAUUAAUUCUUUAUUCACCUUCUCCUUUAGAGUUGCUAUCUUCUUGCCAUCGAACAACAAUCUUUUGAACACAAUCUUGCGUGAAGAUUGUGGGCUUGGGAUCUGAUACUGCUGUGGGAACUUUACUGGCGGAAACAGAGAGGUGCAAUCUAAAACGAUAUUGUUAUUGAACAUAUUAUCAUUAUCAUUAAUCACCCCACGAGCGAUUUCACCCCAGGUUUUCAUGAAGUUAAAGAUUGCCGAACCGUCGGCCACUCCA